rnacentral:rRNA from 1 species
GCAGUCGAACGGUAGAGGGGGCAACCCCUCGAGAGUGGCGAACGGCUGAGUAAUAUAUCGGAACGUGCCCAGUCGUGGGGGAUAACGUAGCGAAAGUUACGCUAAUACCGCAUACGAUCUACGGAUGAAAGCGGGGGAUCGCAAGACCUCGCGCGAUUGGAGCGGCCGAUAUCAGAUUAGGUAGUUGGUGGGGUAAAGGCUCACCAAGCCAACGAUCUGUAGCUGGUCUGAGAGGACGACCAGCCACACUGGAACUGAGACACGGUCCAGACUCCUACGGGAGGCAGCAGUGGGGAAUUUUGGACAAUGGACGCAAGUCUGAUCCAGCCAUUCCGCGUGCAGGAUGAAGGCCCUCGGGUUGUAAACUGCUUUUGUACGGAACGAAAAGGUUUCUAUUAAUACUAGGAGCUCAUGACGGUACCGUAAGAAUAAGCACCGGCUAACUACGUGCCAGCAGCCGCGGUAAUACGUAGGGUGCAAGCGUUAAUCGGAAUUACUGGGCGUAAAGCGUGCGCAGGCGGUUAUACAAGACAGGCGUGAAAUCCCCGGGCUUAACCUGGGAAUGGCGUCUGUGACUGUAUGACUAGAGUGUGUCAGAGGGGGGUAGAAUUCCACGUGUAGCAGUGAAAUGCGUAGAUAUGUGGAGGAAUACCAAUGGCGAAGGCAGCCCCCUGGGAUAACACUGACGCUCAUGCACGAAAGCGUGGGGAGCAAACAGGAUUAGAUACCCUGGUAGUCCACGCCCUAAACGAUGCCGACUAGUUGUUGGGAAUUUACAUUCUCAGUAACGUAGCUAACGCGUGAAGUCGGCCGCCUGGGGAGUACGGUCGCAAGAUUAAAACUCAAAGGAAUUGACGGGGACCCGCACAAGCGGUGGAUGAUGUGGAUUAAUUCGAUGCAACGCGAAAAACCUUACCUACCCUUGACAUGUC